UGUUGGCUUUCAUCCAGCCAUGAGGAGUUAGAAGGUGGUAAGUAUGCUUUGGCAAUCAGAUUGUUUAUUCUUCUCCCCUGACUCACUUUUUCCCAGUUUCAGAAAGUUAAACUAAUUUAUUAUCUCAAAUUGGAUUUCUUGGGAGAAUUUAAGAUUUAGGAGGAAAAAUGCCAGUUGUCAGAGGAAGAAUUGUAAAGUUCUUUUCCUAAAACAUGCAUCAUUUACAAAAUGGAUUUGCAUAUUCUCAGUAUUGUUGGGACAGUAACAUUUGGAAACAGUCAUUUCCACAGAAGAGCUUUGAGCCUGAUAUCCAGUGGGGGGUCAUUUCUGACUCUGAAAAUGAGUAUAGCUCAGGAGGCCCAGGUGCUGGGGAGUGACGCCAUCAGCUCCACUGCAGGCCUGCUUGUUAUUUCCAGCCGCAUAUCACACCUGUGAAAGGGAAAGAUUCUUCCC
rnacentral:lncRNA from 1 species